GCGGAUGACCGGGUGGCUGCGGGGGCUCGCCUCCGAGGAAAGUCCGGACUCCACGAAGCAACGGUGCCGGGUAACGCCCGGGCGGAGCAAUCCGACGGAAAGCGCCACAGAGAAAAGACUGCCCUGCUUGCAGGGUGAUGGUGAAACGGUGGGGUAAGAGCCCACCGCGGGGCUGGCAACAGCACCGGCACGGCAAGCCCCACCGGGAGCAAUGCCAAAUAGGAGCCUCACACGGGCCGCUUCGGCCCCGGGGCUCGGGUUGGCAGCUAGAGGGCACGCGGCAACGCGCGCCUUAGAUGAAUGGCCACCCCGCCCAGAAGCUUCGGCCGACGGGCGGACAGAAUCCGGCUUACAGGUCAUCCGCGCGA
rnacentral:RNase_P_RNA from 1 species